GUGAGUAACGCGUGGGAAUCUACCUUGUAGUGGGGAAUAGCCUUUCGAAAGAGAGGGUAAUACCGCAUGUUUCCAAAUUUAUUUGGAAAAAGACUUCGGUCGCUAUAAGAGGAGCCCGCGUCCUAUCAGGUAGUUGGUGGGGUAAUAGCCUACCAAGCCAAUGACGGGUAGCCGGUGUGAGAGCACGACCGGCCACAAGGUCACUGAAACACGGGGCCUACACCUACGGGUGGCAGCAACCGGGAAUAUUGCGCAAUGGGCGAAAGCCUGACGCAGCGACACCGCGUGUGGGAAGAAGCUUUUCGGAGUGUAAACCACUGUGGCAAGGGAAGAAUUUUUGACGGUACCUUGCUAGAAAGCACCUGCUAACUACGUGCCAGAAGCCUCGGUAAUACGUAGGGUGCAAGCGUUAUCCGGAUUUAUUGGGCGUAAAGAGUUCCGCAGGCGUCUUUACAAGUUUCUUGUUUAAGCCUGAGGCUCAACUUCAGAAAAGCAAGAAAAACUGUAAAGAUUGAGUUUGUUUGGGGAAGCUGGAAUUCUCGGUGGAGGGGUGAAAUCCGUAGAUAUCGAGAGGAACACCAAUCGCGAAGGCAAGCUUCUAAAACAAUACUGACGCUAAGGGACGAAAGCUUGGGUAGCAAAAGGGAUUAGAGACCCCUGUAGUCCAAGCCGUAAACUUUCCUCGCUAGUUGCCUGGUUAAUAAUGCAU
rnacentral:rRNA from 1 species